CUCUCUCUCUCUCUCUCUCGUUUCUAUAUAGUUUAUUAUUUCAGUGGAUUAUCUAUACACUAAUAACAAGCAGAUUCGGCAAUCUAAGCCAUCGGCCGCUUUUUGGCCAGGAUUGCCAAAAAUGCCCCUUUGUUGGCUGUCAUUUGUCGAGAGUUGUCGAGGGGCAAUGUUGUGAUUUGCUCUUUGUGGGGUCUUUGAGUUAUGAGCUGUACUUGCGUUGGUGGUAAGCGUAAAGAAAUCCAUGGAGGACUCUCUCUCCGGAGACAUCAGGCACUGAGAGUUGUGCUUUGCAGGCUCUAUUUGAUAGUUACUGAGCUACGGCGUGGGGUAGUAGAGGUGCUUUUGGUUAACCAGUUGUGCGUCUUCCUCUUUGAUUGGCAUCGCAGAAAAACUGGAAGGAAGCUUUUGAGGCUUCAAUUGAGACGAAGAAAAAGGAAGUACAACAAAAGGAGGUGAUGUAUGGAUGUGGUGGUUCACAAGGCUUGCCACCCUCAACUUAGAGAAUACAUUAAUUCUGCCGUCACUCAUCUGAAGGUGGCUAAGUUCCAUUACUUCCUCGAGCUUGUGUUCUGCAAAAUGUAUUAAAUAUAAUCACAUCUGCGUCAGACUCUGCGUGGUCAUAAUAUCCCAUUGUGGUUUAUUAUGGGAGAAUGCUCAAACAGAAUUAUUGAUUUUCAGCUCGAUUCUGCAGUUUCUUUGAGAAGAUCUAUUUGUCAUUUGUUGACAAACCUCUAUAGGGAUUGGUGGAAAGAGUUGCAGUUAUUCUCUUUGACAGUGAGACAAUCCCGUUGAGAUUUAUUUUCAAGCUUUCUGUUAACCAGUCUUAUGGGUCAGAGGCGGAAGAAGCUAAUUUGGAGUUCUUUCUUCUUUUGGCUUUUAUCGAGCUUCCAGUAUCAUAACCACUGACAAAGGUUUUGGCCCACAGUAAGUGCCAAGAGUCAGUUGCUUGAUUCAUAGUCUUUCUGCAGUUUAUGGGCAUAGUUCGCCCCAUGUUAUGACCCAAAACUAGCCAACUAUGUUUUUGCAUUUAUGGAAUGCUUCUUUUUUUUUUUUUUUUGGUUGGUGAGAAAAUAAGUCGUGCUUGAUUAUUGCUAGAGUUGGUCAAAUGGUUCACGAUUCCUUUUGAUCAGUUGGUUAUGUCGUGCUUUAUUCUGUAUUGCUUUGAGAUGGGAAAUGCGACACCUAGCUAUUUUCCUGUUAGAAAUAACAGCUUAUUUCCGUUCACUCCCCCUGGGUGAUACAAGCAAGGAUGCAGAGCUAUGGAUUCGAACAGACACAAAGCAGUGGCUGCAACCUCCAUUAAUAACUCCUCUUAAGUCACUGAGUAUUGAACACGCCAAUACCUUGGCAAUUUGUCUUAAUACAAUUGUAUUUCCAUUUAA